rnacentral:rRNA from 1 species
AUUGAACGCUGGCGGCAUGCCUUACACAUGCAAGUCGAACGGCAGCACGGGAGCAAUCCUGGUGGCGAGUGGCGAACGGGUGAGUAAAGCAUCGGAACGUGCCCAGUCGUGGGGGAUAACGUAGCGAAAGCUACGCUAAUACCGCAUACGAACUGUGGAUGAAAGCGGGGGACCGUAAGGCCUCGCGCGAUUGGAGCGGCCGAUGUCAGAUUAGGUAGUUGGUGAGGUAAAGGCUCACCAAGCCGACGAGCUGUAGCUGGUCUGAGAGGACGACCAGCCACACUGGGACUGAGACACGGCCCAGACUCCUACGGGAGGCAGCAGUGGGGAAUUUUGGACAAUGGGCGCAAGCCUGAUCCAGCAAUGCCGCGUGCAGGAUGAAGGCCUUCGGGUUGUAAACUGCUUUUGUACGGAGCGAAACGGCUUCCACUAAUACUGGGGGCUAAUGACGGUACCGUAAGAAUAAGCACCGGCUAACUACGUGCCAGCCGCCGCGGUAA